GGGCGGGGCGUGGAGAGGCCGGGCCGGGCCCCGGGAGCGCCGCAUCCCCGGGAAUGCCGGUGCGGGGUUUUUCGGCUGGAUGUGUGGAGCUUCUCUGCUAUUUAUGCUGUGUCAUAAGGCAAAUGGCACUGCUAUUAACUGGAAAAUCUGGUCUAGCAUACAUGAUGUGCAUUUAGAGUGACAGUUCUGUACCUUCAUCUACACUUAAUGGAACCACUGUGAAUGGAGCAUCUGGUAGAACAAGUUUUCCUUAGGACAUAUGAAGAAGAAACGACAUGCUCUGAUGCCAGGCAAACUCAUGCAUGCUUUAUCACGGGCACCUGAUGAAGGAAGUGCUUUCCUGUAGCUCCUGUUUCACAGGUGAUAAAUUCUGCUUAAUGCAGGUGGUAAUGAAUAUUUUUAAGUUUUAUCAGCAUUCUCAUCUGUUAGAAUUUCAUGCUUAGAUCUGUGGGAACUGUUUGUCAGUUGGUUUAGGGUUUCUUAGUGCUUCCUAGUUGAUUUUUUUAAAAUAGCUAUAAUGUUAAACCAGGUAACCUGAUUAAUCUGUCAGAAUUUGAAAUGUGUUAUAAAAAUUGCCUACGUUAUAAAAAAUUUCUGUUGCCAUUUGUUCCUUUAAAUGUUCUGCAAUUAAUGAUAGAUGGCUUUAUUUUAAUGUGCCAAGAAAUGUCAAUGCAGAAAUAGCUACUGGAAUUUGAUGGCUCAGUCACAGGCAAAUUUAUCAAAUAGGCUCAAGCAGUUUAGUUUGAUCCCAAAUAUCCUAAGUAUUCAUGUAUGAGGGUAUUCAUAUAUGAUGGAAUUGAUUAUGGUAAUGUUUAGCAGAUUUUGAUAGUCCAUCUUCACAUGUUUUUUUAGAAGGAAAUACAUAUUGUCCAUACUGUAGUAGGAGUAUUACAGAGUAAUUGUAGAUACUCUUAAUAUUUUUCAUGCAAGUUCUUUGGCUUCAAGAUUACAAAUAACAGGGACCAAGUUAAGACUCGUUGUGUUUUUAGAAAGUCUAACAGAUAAAAGCAAAGCAUGGGAACAAACUGAAGCAGUUAUCACAGUUAUUUAAAACCCCAGAGCAGAACUGUUGCCUGAGAUAAGGUCUCAUACCAGAAUAGCCAAACAGAGGAAGCUGUAUCUUCUGCUGCAGUGGCAUAGGGGUCACUUGUGUGCCUGGGAUAAAGGUCCUGUCCUCUCCAGGACACCCAGAUGUCCUGUGAGCACUCAGUAGCUCUGGGAUGUUCUGAGCACAGGGGGUUUAUUGCAUGAGCUCAGAUGAACCCUGGAGAGCUCAGGCCUCAGUUCUGAGGGCUGUGCUGGAUAUUUGUGUGUCCUGUGCAGCUCACCUGCCUGUGCUCCCUGUGUCUGAUGCACCUGGUGAUUAACAGGUUAUUAUCAGUAAUAUCUGAUAAUCCAGUGAAAAGAGAAAAAACAAAUUAAAUUGUUUUGUAAGAAACAUCUUUAAUUUGCAAUACUACUUCUUAGAAAAAGACGUUUUAAAAAUUUUUGUAAUACAGAAAAAUAUUUAUGUACAAUUUAAAGUAAAAGUAUACAUCUUUUUCUACUUUUCAGAAAUUCACUUUAGUAAAAAAAGUAUGAACUUGUUUAAAACUAAAAGACAUUGCAAUUAGACCUGAUAAAUAAUUUUGGCUCAGAUAAGCCAUGUUCUAGCAUAUGCUUAUGCUACUGGUGCUAGUCAGAAAGAUAUAUCAGAAGUCUGUAAAGGUUAAUUAAGGAAAAAGUUAUUUUGAAAUUGAGGCAAUUUGUAAAACCCUCCAGCUUUGCCCUUACAUUCUUUCACAGUAUGCAGGAUCCAGGGAACAAACCAUUCCAAAAUACUUUUGAACAGCUGCAAAAAGAAUUUAACUUUGUUACUGAAAAAGAUAUUAAAAAGUGUAAAUGCUUCCAGCUGUUGCAGUAGUAAAACUUCUGUUUAUAGGGAGAUACAGCAUACAGUAUUUCAGGAAUUUGGUGUUUCAGAUACAGUCUUUGUUUUGAACUUAUAUUUGAUAAGUUGUGUUACAUUUAAUCUCUGAUUUUUUAAUAGUUUCUGAAUCAAUCUUUCCUGUUCUUUUAUAUGUUUAUGUAACAGAAAUUUUGUUCAUUAUCAACCUAAAUGCCAAGUUAGAGCUAUCUAUACUUUCAACACAUUUGGAUUUACUGUAAUUAGAAGCAUAUUAGAUAUAUUAGUUAAGAGUACAAAUUAAAAAUCCAGUAAGAAUUUUGUUAUAGCUUGCAAAAUGUUACUUAUAGGUAUUAGAUACAUAUUGAAAUGCUAUGGUACUUUGAAGAAAAUUCACAAUUUUUCUCUAGAAUAUUUGCAAAGUGAAGCUCUGGGUAAAAACUUUAAAAUGUAGUUAAUACCCAACAUUUUGAUUAGAUAACUGCAUCUAGCAUGCUGAUUUUUGUAGACUGCAAUCCUUCACAUUCUUGACUGGUGGGAUUGUAUAUUUAUGAAGCUUUGUGAACCCUCACACGGAGCUGCCACAAUUUAUCAUGAGAUGGAGCUCUGAGGCAGAGCAAGAGUCAGCAAAGGCAGUGGCAUUACAGCAGUAUGGGCAUUAUUCCUUUCUAAUGGUUUGGGAAAAUUUCUGGGUUCUCUAAAGUGUGAACUCUUCAGCUACAUUUAGAAAUUUCCAAAGGAACCUGACAUCCUCUGAAAUACUUUUGCAGUUGAAAUGCUGGAAUUUUUUUUUCAAAAAGCCAACUGGUAUGAACUUCUGUCUUUUCCUUCAUUAAAAAAUCUUAUUGCUCCUCUUUCAAUUAGUUGUUUCAAAAAUUGGAAAUCAUGAGAAAAUAUCUAUCACACCCCUAGAAGAGUUGUCCUAAUACUUAGAUAUCACAAUGCUUUAUUUUUGUCAUGUACUCCAGUUUAAAUUUGCAAUGAAUCAGCUUCCUGGACUCUUUUGUGGUGUGCCCAUAUCUGCUAGCUCAGGAUCCUGUACUAGAUAUGUUCUUCUUGUGCAGAGCUGAUAGGCUCUUGGUGGCACUCUGUGUUUGUGAAGUUAAAUUGGCUUUCUUCACUCUGUCUCUAGUUUUCUUGUAAAUGUUUCUUGCAACUCUUUCUGAAGCUAUCCCAUUCAUUGAAUUAAUAAACUAGGGAUUUUUUUUUUGUCAUAAAUGUUUUCAUAGUGCUCAGUCUUUAUGGCAAGAUAAGCUAUGAAAUUAAUGGGUUUUAAACUGUUUUCAUGCAAAGGAUGGGUAUAUUCUGGGAGUUACUAGUUUUUGAGGUCUAUUUUUAUAGAGAUUUUUUAAUAGUUUCCUGCCAAUGUUUAUGCUUUUCUUGAUAGUUGCUGAUGAGGCCAGGAAAAACUGUGUGGGUUCCCAAACCAUACAGAGAACAUAAAAUGGAAAUAAAACCUGUGAUGAUUGAUACAAACAA